UUAGAAGGCCGAAAAUUUAAAAGGAAAUAAAAACUCAAAGAUUGGCCCAAUUCGGCUUUGAAAAGCCCAAAGCCCAAUUCUCUCUUUCUCUCUCCUUCCCUCCGUCAUUUUCUCUUUCUUCUCUCCAGCUAGGGCUUUUUCUCUCUGUAGAAGUUACAGUGAACCUCUAGAAGAAGCAGCUUCAUUUUCAAUGGCGAUGCCACUGGGGAGGGACGAUUACGCUGAAGACGAGCUGGAUCAGGACGAAGAUUACGAGUGCGACGCCGUUGAUGAAGAGACGGUGGUGGAUAGCGACGGAUAAGAGGAGGAGGACGACGACGGAGAUGACGGCAAUAGUCGUUGAACAGCAAGCUCUCUCUGCCGUCGAUUAGGGUCUAAAAUUAUGGAUGGUGAAAUGUGCGGUAUGAUAGACGAAAUUCUUUAAAUGGAGUUAGCAGUUUGCCCUAUGCAUAAUUAUAUCGGUAAAGGGAUCUGAGUUACCAACUAGAUCCGUCGUAGCAUUUGAUCAUCUCAAAAGCUAUAUACAUAGAGGCAGAAAAAUCUAUUUCAAAUUUUAUUUUUCUGUUUUUUUUUUUUUUUCACGUGUGAAUUCUUGUAAUAAAAUUGAUUAUAUGUGUAGGGAGGAACAGCUUUGAGUGUAGAUUAAACGUGUCGUGGGUGAUGCUUUUCAGGUUAGCCCUAAUAGAUAGGAACGGACCAAGAUUAUUGUUUUGAUGUUAGGAGAUAUUAAACACAAGAUAGUUAGUUAAGAAGUUGUUUUACGAAAGACCGACGUAAGAACAUUUAUCCAUUUUAGAUGUUGUAAAGAUUCUAGAGGCGCGUCUCUGUAGGCUGCGCUUCUCGAACUGUACUUUUAGUUUAUGAAUAUAAUUGAUCUUUUGGUUCGGUCCAA